AAAUUGAAGAGUUUGAUCAUGGCUCAGAUUGAACGCUGGCGGCAGGCCUAACACAUGCAAGUCGAGCGGAAACGAGUUAUCUGAACCUUCGGGGAACGAUAACGGCGUCGAGCGGCGGACGGGUGAGUAAUGCCUAGGAAAUUGCCCUGAUGUGGGGGAUAACCAUUGGAAACGAUGGCUAAUACCGCAUAACGCCUACGGGCCAAAGAGGGGGACCUUCGGGCCUCUCGCGUCAGGAUAUGCCUAGGUGGGAUUAGCUAGUUGGUGAGGUAAGGGCUCACCAAGGCGACGAUCCCUAGCUGGUCUGAGAGGAUGAUCAGCCACACUGGAACUGAGACACGGUCCAGACUCCUACGGGAGGCAGCAGUGGGGAAUAUUGCACAAUGGGCGCAAGCCUGAUGCAGCCAUGCCGCGUGUGUGAAGAAGGCCUUCGGGUUGUAAAGCACUUUCAGUCGUGAGGAAGGUAGUGUAGUUAAUAGCUGCAUUAUUUGACGUUAGCGACAGAAGAAGCACCGGCUAACUCCGUGCCAGCAGCCGCGGUAAUACGGAGGGUGCGAGCGUUAAUCGGAAUUACUGGGCGUAAAGCGCAUGCAGGUGGUUUGUUAAGUCAGAUGUGAAAGCCCGGGGCUCAACCUCGGAAUAGCAUUUGAAACUGGCAGACUAGAGUACUGUAGAGGGGGGUAGAAUUUCAGGUGUAGCGGUGAAAUGCGUAGAGAUCUGAAGGAAUACCGGUGGCGAAGGCGGCCCCCUGGACAGAUACUGACACUCAGAUGCGAAAGCGUGGGGAGCAAACAGGAUUAGAUACCCUGGUAGUCCACGCCGUAAACGAUGUCUACUUGGAGGUUGUGGCCUUGAGCCGUGGCUUUCGGAGCUAACGCGUUAAGUAGACCGCCUGGGGAGUACGGUCGCAAGAUUAAAACUCAAAUGAAUUGACGGGGGCCCGCACAAGCGGUGGAGCAUGUGGUUUAAUUCGAUGCAACGCGAAGAACCUUACCUACUCUUGACAUCCAGAGAACUUUCCAGAGAUGGAUUGGUGCCUUCGGGAACUCUGAGACAGGUGCUGCAUGGCUGUCGUCAGCUCGUGUUGUGAAAUGUUGGGUUAAGUCCCGCAACGAGCGCAACCCUUAUCCUUGUUUGCCAGCACUUCGGGUGGGAACUCCAGGGAGACUGCCGGUGAUAAACCGGAGGAAGGUGGGGACGACGUCAAGUCAUCAUGGCCCUUACGAGUAGGGCUACACACGUGCUACAAUGGCGCAUACAGAGGGCAGCCAACUUGCGAAAGUGAGCGAAUCCCAAAAAGUGCGUCGUAGUCCGGAUUGGAGUCUGCAACUCGACUCCAUGAAGUCGGAAUCGCUAGUAAUCGUGGAUCAGAAUGCCACGGUGAAUACGUUCCCGGGCCUUGUACACACCGCCCGUCACACCAUGGGAGUGGGCUGCAAAAGAAGUAGGUAGUUUAACCUUCGGGAGGACGCUUACCACUUUGUGGUUCAUGACUGGGGUGAAGUCGUAACAAGGUAGCGCUAGGGGAACCUGGCGCUGGAUCACCUCCUUAUACGAUGAU
rnacentral:rRNA from 1 species